UGAGGAACAUGACCUUCGGCGGGGGAUAGCCGGCCCAACGGCCGGGUAAUACCGCGUACGACCUUUCGGGGACAUCCCUGGAUGGUGAAAGCAGCAAUGCGCCGAUGGAGUGCCUCGCGGCCUAUCAGCUAGUUGGUGAGGUAACGGCUCACCAAGGCGACGACGGGUAGCUGGUCUGAGAGGAUGGCCAGCCACAUUGGGACUGAGACACGGCCCAGACUCCUACGGGAGCAG
rnacentral:rRNA from 1 species